rnacentral:lncRNA from 1 species
UUUUUUUUUUUUUUUUGGAGAGGUCCCUGAAUUCCAAGAGCCUCUCCAGUCUUGCAGGCAGACCAUUGUGUGGAGAGGGAAAUUGAGUCAUUUAGUCAUUAGUUCCUCAGAUAUCAGCCUGAGAGGAGAAGCUGUCUGCCUUUUUCCACAAUUUAGACACUUAUCUUACAAAUUCACCAAGCUUGGUGAUUUCUGAACAAUGCCAGCUGUUAGGGAGCCAUUUCCCUGGCAUUUUCCCCAUAAUUUGAUUUGAAAGAGAAAAAUUAAACUCAGUCCGACCCAGAACUGUCAGCCCAAUGCCUUCAAAGAGUUUGACAGGACAGAGAGAGAGAGAGAGAGAGAGAGAGAGAGAGAGAGAAAGAGUUAGUUUUCUUGGAUUCUUUCAGAUGAAGAAAACACUUUUCCAAGGGCAUGAAGCUUGAAGGAGAGACAAUAAGGCACAUUCCACAGGGUAUCAAAGGAUCCACCAUAAAGAGGUCUUCUCCAAAAAGACAUAUUAAAGGGAGGGUUAAUCUCAUAGUCUUUCUCCAUGAUCAAAUUUUGCAUAACUUUAGGAAAAAACAGGGAUUGAGAAGAUGAUUCAGAGGGUGUAGCCAAGUGUGGGGAGCAAAGCUCAGAUCCAAAGGAUCUAUGAAAAGCUAGAAGCAGAUGUAAAUGUCUGUAAUUUUAGUUCUUCUACACUAAGAUGGAAGGUGGAGACAGGAAUUGUGGGAACACUAAAUGUAUUUACCUGUGGUCACCCAUAGUAGCAUAAAUAUAAAUAUAUUCAGAAAGUCACAUGCAUAGAUAUGAAUACAUAUGUGUAUGCACACAGACACACAUACACACACAUAUCUACACACAUGAUUUACAUGAAGAAGACAAAUUAGACACUAUUUAAUUGGUAAUUAGUUGAUAUGAUUAUUUUACUUUAUGGAUUGAUUUGGAGGCUCAUGUCUCAGCUACCGAAGUGCUAGUAUUUGCUGUCCUGCACCACCACCUACUUUAUGUUAUUGUUUUAAAACUUGUUUCUUAAGUGUUAGCAUAUCUCUUUCAACCUAACAACAAAUGAUAACAUUUAUUUGUAUAAAAUCAGAGUUUUUAGAUUGUAUAUUUACUCAAUCCACCAAAAGACUCAGUUGGGAUAUUAUUUAUUUGCAGGUUUGUUCAAAUCAAUGAUUCCUGAAGACUUUAACUUUUCCAAAAGGAAAUACGUAGUCCACUGGUUCAUUACUUACAUUUGAAUGCUGGAACACUUGUCUCCACACAGUGCAUGUCCCACAAAAGACUUUGUAUGCACCUUCUC